rnacentral:lncRNA from 1 species
UUGGGGCUGUCAGGAAGAGAAAAGGGGAAGGAGCGUCUAGGUGAAAUGAGCUGUGUAGUCCUUUAGAGCCUCUGGACAGAAGUUUGAGGACUGUUGAGGAGCCAGAACAAAAGGUGAAGGAGAAAGUAUCAGGGUAAUAAUAUCAAUGAUGAGGACAAAAAGGCAAGAAGAAUAAAAUGAAGAUGCAAAGCAGGAAGCAGUGAAUGAGAAAAAGCUGUAACAGGCAGAAAGUAGCUACCCAUGGCUCUAAUACUAAGACCCAAGAAUAUGUAAAUAAACAAUUAUUCCACCAAGAAAGAAGGAGCAAGAGGAAAGCACGAAGACAAACAAAAUAUAAAGAAUAUCUUACACUCUGAAGGUUACAGAAUAUCACAAGCUACAUCAUGCCUCAAAUUCACAACCACACUAUUCAUUCUAUGCAGAAAAUAGCUGCUAGAAUUUCAACCUCAGUUCAAGUCCCUCCAUCAAAUCUCUCUAGGCUUGAUACCUUGUAAUCUGCGACCUACACACAUACAGACCAGAGCCCAGACCCCCAAAACCAGUUCAAAUAUCAAUUGCUACAGUAUGUUAAAUGAUUCUGCUCUAGAGAAGAGAGUGAAAACAAAGAAGGGCUGGUAAUACAUCAUCUCUAAGAAUUUAGCUUGGCGUAAGUGUGCCUGUGACUAAGCUGGGUAAGAAGCACUUGGCAAAUUCCCAACACAGCAUCAGAGACGAGAGGUGCCUAAUGAACAGUGGUUCUCAACUGGGAGAGCACUGUGUUCACCCUGGGGCUAUCGUGGCAAUGUCUGAAGAAAUUUGGGGUUGUCACAUCUGGGGUGGUGCUGCUGACAUCUAGUGAGCAGAGGCCAGAGACGCUGCUAAGCAUCCUACAAUGUACAGGAGAACCCCACGCAGCAAAGAAUUAUCCAGCCAGAAAUGUAAAUAGUGCCAAGACUGAGAAAGAAAGAACAACAUCACUGGAUACAACAGAACUUCUCCACAGCAUCAAAUAAACUUUUAGACAACCCUUUAUAAAUAAAAAUGGGACUUUCCCUUGCAUUUGUACUCUGAAUUAUCUUACGCUUUACUCCAUACCUCUAAACAGUUUAAUAGGGGAUAGGCACUAUAGCGCCAAAGGAAUGUUUUCUCUUGUCCCUGCAACGAUGGUAGUCUGAUGUCCCAGAAAGGAAGGAAAGUUAGUUUCUCUUUUCCUUGACUCUCAGAUCUGGGCUCCUUCACA